GGGGAAUAUUGGACAAUGGGGGCAACCCUGAUCCAGCAAUGCCGCGUGUGUGAAGAAGGUCUUCGGAUUGUAAAGCACUUUCGACGGGGACGAUGAUGACGGUACCCGUAGAAGAAGCCCCGGCUAACUUCGUGCCAGCAGCCGCGGUAAUACGAAGGGGGCUAGCGUUGCUCGGAAUGACUGGGCGUAAAGGGCGUGUAGGCGGUUUACACAGUCAGAUGUGAAAAUCCCCGGGCUUAACCUGGGAGCUGCAUUUGAUACGUGUAGACUAGAGUGUGAGAGAGGGUUGUGGAAUUCCCAGUGUAGAGGUGAAAUUCGUAGAUAUUGGGAAGAACACCGGUGGCGAAGGCGGCAACCUGGCUCAUGACUGACGCUGAGGCGCGAAAAGCGUGGGGAGCAAACAGGUUAGAUACCCUGGUAGUCCACGCUGUAAACGAUGUGUGCUAGAUGUUGGGUAACUUUGUUAUUCAGUGUCGCAGUUAACGCGUUAAAGCACACCG
rnacentral:rRNA from 1 species